rnacentral:rRNA from 1 species
UUCGGGGGUACACGAGCGGCGAACGGGUGAGUAACACGUGAGUAAUCUGCCCUCCACUUCGGGAUAAGCCUCGGAAACGGGGUCUAAUACCGGAUACGACACAGUUUCGCAUGAGAUCUGUGUGGAAAGUUUUUUCGGUGGGGGAUGUGCUCGCGGCCUAUCAGCUUGUUGGUGGGGUAAUGGCCUACCAAGGCUUCGACGGGUAGCCGGCCUGAGAGGGUGACCGGCCACACUGGGACUGAGACACGGCCCAGACUCCUACGGGAGGCAGCAGUGGGGAAUAUUGGACAAUGGGCGGAAGCCUGAUCCAGCAACGCCGCGUGAGGGAUGACGGCCUUCGGGUUGUAAACCUCUUUCAGUACCGACGAAGCGCAAGUGACGGUAGGUACAGAAGAAGCACCGGCCAACUACGUGCCAGCAGCCGCGGUAAUACGUAGGGUGCGAGCGUUGUCCGGAAUUAUUGGGCGUAAAGGGCUCGUAGGCGGUUUGUCGCGUCGGGAGUGAAAACACUGGGCUUAACUCAGUGCUUGCUUCCGAUACGGGCAGACUAGAGGCAUGCAGGGGAGAACGGAAUUCCUGGUGUAGCGGUGAAAUGCGCAGAUAUCAGGAGGAACACCGGUGGCGAAGGCGGUUCUCUGGGCAUGUCCUGACGCUGAGGAGCGAAAGUGUGGGGAGCGAACAGGAUUAGAUACCCUGGUAG